GGGUCCUGGUGCUUCUGGGAGGCGAAGCGGGAGGGAGUGACCCCCGUGCUCCUCUAUCCCUGUACGACGUCGCCUCCAUAGCCUGCGGAGAAGCGGGGACCGCGCUCAUCGCCUCGCCUCACAGCGGAACGCCGCGCACUCGGAGCCGGCACUGCUCGGCGGGUUUUGGUUUUUUGCACUGAAUGUAACCUAGAUUCAUCUUCACGGGCUUGUAUUGCCCCAGAUACUGUCAAAGGCAGUGUUUGUGUGUUUCUGCAGAGUUUUGCACAGAGUCUGUUCCCAUGCAAACCAAUGAGGGAGAAGUAUCAGAAGAAAGCAGUUCCAAGUUCUUCCUGGGAGUUCCUGAGGGUAUCUCACAUUGUCUCCUGAGCAGUCCCCAGCACCCACAGCAUUAUCUGCUACCCUGGAUCCACCUGGGGGGAUCCUUUGCUGCUGCCACUACUACCUGUGCUCUCUGUGGGAAGGCUUAUUCCUUCACCAGAGCAGAAGUGGAGAGGUGUCAAAAUGUCACUAAGAACCUCUAAAACAUCAUGCUAAGUGGAAGAAGCCAGGUGCAAAAGUCACAUACUGUAUGAUUCAAUUUAUAUGACAUGUGCAAAAGAUAAAUCCAUAGAGACUGAGUGCAGAUUGGUGGUUUCUGGGGAUUAGUUGGGGGAGGAAGAGGAGAGGGCUUUGACUGCCUGAUGGGUAUGGGGUUUCCCUUUGAGGGAUAGAGGUGGUGAAUGUACAAUAUUGUAAAUAUACUAAAUGCCACUAAAUUGUGCACCUUAAGAUGGUUAACUUCAUGUUAUGUGAAUUUCACAUCAAUAAAUUAUUAAAUUUAAAAAGUGGGGAAAAAAAUGUCACCGGGUUGCCAU